CUUUUUUGAGUUGAAUACUCAUACAUUGAUUUGGGUAUUAUGAUUCUCACUCGAAUAGGAAGAUCUGAUGC